UACGUAGGUGGCAAGCGUUACUCGGAAUCACUAGGCGUAAAGCGCAGGUAGGUGGCUAGAUAAGUUUCUUGUGAAAGCUCCCGGCUUAACUGGGAGAGGCCAAGGAAUACUGUUUGGCUUGAGUAUGGUAGGGGUAACUGGAAUUCCCGGUGUAGCGGUGAAAUGCGUAGAUAUCGGGAGGAAUACCUAUGGCGAAGGCAGGUUACUGGGCCAUUACUGACACUGAGCUGCGAAAGCUAGGGGAGCAAACAGG
rnacentral:rRNA from 1 species